rnacentral:tRNA from 1 species
GCCGGUAUAGCUCAGCUGGUAGAGCAGCUCAUUCGUAAUGAGCAGGUCGCGGGUUCGAGUCCCAUUACCGGCUCCA